UACGUAGGGUGCAAGCGUUAAUCGGAAUUACUGGGCGUAAAGCGUGCGUAGGCGGCUAUGUAAGACAGAUGUGAAAUCCCUGGGCUUAACCUGGGAACUGCAUUUGUGACUGCAUUGCUAGAGUGUGGUAGAGGGAGAUGGAAUUCCUGGUGUAGCGGUGAAAUGCGUAGAUAUCAGGAGGAACACCGGUGGUGUAGACGGCUCACUGGACCGUAACUGACGCUGAGACACGAAAGCGUGGGUAGCAAACAGG
rnacentral:rRNA from 1 species